AGAGUUUGAUCCUGGCUCAGGAUGAACGCUAGCUACAGGCUUAACACAUGCAAGUCGAGGGGAAACGACAUCGAAAGCUUGCUUUUGAUGGGCGUCGACCGGCGCACGGGUGAGUAACGCGUAUCCAACCUGCCCAUCACUUGGGGAUAACCUUGCGAAAGUAAGACUAAUACCCAAUGACGUCUCUAGAAGACAUCUGAAAGAGAUUAAAAGAUUUAUACGGUGAUGGAUGGGGAUGCGGUCUGAUUAGCUUGUUGGCGGGGUAACGCCACGAAGGCGACGAUCAGUAGGGGUUCUGAGAGGAAGGUCCCCCAGAUUGGAACUGAGACACGGUCCAAACUCCUACGGGAGCA
rnacentral:rRNA from 1 species